GUAGGUGAACCUGCGGAAGGAUCAUUACUAAACGAGUGAGAAAUUGUUCUUUAUCUGCUCGGUGGUCCUCGGGUUGCUGAUCGGUUUUAACCUUUUGUGAACCAAAAAAACCUUUUCGCUUCGGCAGCUGGGCCUGACCGCCUGUCAGCCUGCCGCUAGCACCAAACCACAAACCUGUUGUCAAAACAUUGUCUGAUAACCAAAUUUUCGAAUGAAAAUUAAAACUUUCAACAACGGAUCUCUUGGUUCCC
rnacentral:misc_RNA from 1 species